rnacentral:lncRNA from 1 species
GAAAGACCAACAGAAAACCAAAAUGACUGACAGUGGGCAUUUACUUAACUUUUUAUUAUUAUUAUUAUUUCCACAGAAUGUGCAAGUCUCACAAUCAAAGAAGCAUAAUUGCAAGAUCUUAAAACAUUGAAAUUUAAACCUUGUAAUGCAGUUUUUGCAGAUAUCAUUUCACAAAUGCUGUUGAAAUCCCAGUCAUGUCCUGACUUGUGCCAGAAAGCACUUUACAAAAUUUUGCCUGUGGCUCUGGCUCUUUGGUUGCUUGUUUUGUUUUGGGAUAUGCUCGUCUAUUUUUGGAAAAACUGUUACAAAGGAAGCCGUGAGAUGCAGCAGAAACAAUCGAAUGCAGUGAGCUCCACCCUGGGUCUGCCUCCACCCGGACCGUCUGACUUAAGCAGGCUUGCCAGCUUAUUAUCUGAAAACUGCCGCUGGAGAUGGUCCUAGUCCCAUGUCCCUGGAAGCCACAGCUGCAACAAAUACACAGGUAGAACAAGCCAUGCGUGCCAGCGCUAGGAGGACAGCAAACCCUACUUAGUCUGGUCCUCCUUGGCUUUUUAGUAAAUUUCCUUCCUGGCUUAUCCAUAACAUGAAGGAUCUAAUGGAAGCACAGCAGGGGAGGAAGCAGAUUUGGAAAUCCCCGAUGCUGUUCUGGCAAAAUAGGUUACAGCAGGGCCUUAGAGGAACCUCUGAAGAUUGAAAGAGUGGUGAACUUAGCAAUAGCCAGAAGAAACCCUCCCCCGGGGAACAUGGCCCUUCCUUCCCUUACACUUCUGUCCAUAUGCCUUCAGGCCUACACAAUCAUACCUAAAUGCUAAGAGCAAAGUAAUUUGUGGGAAGAUACAAGAAAGAAAGUAGAGAAAACAUAAGCAAAAGAAAACAAACCAUGAAGACAAAUAAACCUCAGAAAUAUUUUUAAGAUUUAUCCCA